rnacentral:rRNA from 1 species
GACGAACGCUGGCGGCGUGCUUAACACAUGCAAGUCGAACGGAAAGGCCCUGCUUGUGUGGGGUGCUCGAGUGGCGAACGGGUGAGUAACACGUGAGUAACCUGCCCUUGACUUGGGGAUAACUUCAGGAAACUGGGGCUAAUACCGGAUAGGAGCUCCUGCUGCAUGGUGGGGGUUGGAAAGUUUCGGCGGUUGGGGAUGGACUCGCGGCUUAUCAGCUUGUUGGUUGGGUAGUGGCUUACCAAGGCUUUGACGGGUAGCCGGCCUGAGAGGGUGACCGGCCACAUUGGGACUGAGAUACGGCCCAGACUCGUACGGGAGGCAGCAGUGGAGAGUAUUGCACAAUGGGCGGAAGCCUGAUGCAGCAACGCCGCGUGCGGGAUGACGGCCUUCGGGUUGGAAACCGCUUUCGCCUGUGACGAAGCGUGAGUGACGGUAAUGGGUAAAGAAGCACCGGCUAACUACGUG